GACGAACGCUGGCGGCGUGCCUAAUACAUGCAAGUCGAACGCAGUGGGGACGGGUGAGUAACCCGUGGGUAACCUCCCAUCAGAGGGGAUAACGCUUGGAAACAGGUGCUAAACCGAUACUGAUGGCUGAACCCGAGGUGCAUUAGCUAGUUGGGGAGGUAACGGCUCACCAAGGCCACGAUGCAUAGCCGGUGUGAGAGGGUGAGCGGACACACUGGGACUGAGACACGGCCCAGACUCCUACGGGAGGCAGCAGUAGGGAAUCUUCGGCAAUGGACGAAAGUCUGACCGAGCAACGCCGCGUGAGUGAAGAAGGUUUUCGGAUCGUAAAGCUCUGUUGUUAGAGAAGCGGUAUCUAACCAGAAAGCCACGGCUAACUACGUGCCAGCAGCCGCGGUAAUUC
rnacentral:rRNA from 1 species